GUUAAAAGUCAUGAUGUGCACUUAAGAAAAAAUCUAGUUUUUAUAUUUGUUUUAGCUUACAGUACAAAAAAAAGUAGUGCUGAGUUCUGCACUUCAUUUGUAUCACAGGUACGACAUUAUUACUAAACCUACUGCUUUUCUGCUGCAGGUAAAUAUCAAUAAUUGUUCUGUAACAAACAUUAAAAGCUGAAUGAACAGUGAGGAAUGAUUAUGUAGCAUAGUAUAAUAAAACCUGAAUAAAACAAGCUCAAGAUAUUCGAUAUGCAGCAUCACAGUAUUUUUAUUGUACUAUAACAGAAUGUUAAAAGAACAGGGAAAAUUCAUGUCAUGACCACUUUAAAUGUUGAUGUGUACCUUGAGUAAAUAUUACAUUAAAUAAAUUAUAAAUGUUACUAAAUAAUAUCAUUUCAAAAAUAUUUUAACUAAUAUUUAUAAAUGAUCACAUAUUUUCUGUGAAUACACACUGCAAAUGAUGUAUGGUAGUUCCUCACACAAGCUGAACUUGAGUUACCUUUAAGUUUACCAGGAGUUAUGGGCUUUGUUUUAGUUAGUUUUAUUUGUGCAGUCCCAGAAUGCACUAAAUUGAGUUGAUUUAAGUAAAAACUCAUUGUGCAGUACAUUAUCGUUUGUACUAUACAAAACUGCAUAUUUUUCUUAACAGGUGAGUAUCCAAAGCUACAGACAAUAGUCUGCAUUUAACUGUGAAUCUGUCUAUUUAACUUUUUCUUUUUAACUUUAUCUUCUAUAUUGAUUUAGUAAUCAUUGAGGGAUAUGUUUACCUUAUUUAACCACGUUCCUUUAAAGGAGCAAUACAGAAGGUCUUACAUCUGCCGUAAGAAUAUUUCAUUAGAAUGUGACAAUUUUUUGUUUAUAUAUAUAUAUUAUUUAGACUAGGAGGGAAGUGCUUCCAAAAUGAGUUCCCAUGAGAAAAGAGAGAAUGAAGACACCUCCAGUGACUCCAGCAGAAAGAAGAUACUGAGAUCAGAAUCUGCAGGAUCCUGCAGCAAUGUGUCUAUGAAAAGUACAAGAUCCAUGCCCAGACCCCCUUUAUUCAGUGACGGAACAAAGACCUCUGCCCCACAGUUAGUAUACAUAUUUAGCUACUGAUUUACUGCAAUUUCAUUUAAGAAACCCUAAUGAAGACUAAAUGUUCUCCAAAAUAUGCAACAUAUACAAUCCACACUGAUAUGUUUCUGAUAAUCUUCAGCAGCCAUUGUAAUUACUGUAAUUGCCAUUUUGGCUGUUCUUUCUUUUAAUUUCAGCAGUGUGAAGAUAGAUGAUACAAUAACAUCCUACAAUCAGACCCACAUCAGGCAGGAAAGACCUGAAGCAGUCCUUCGGAGAGUCA
ensembl:lncRNA